AGAUUAUAAUCAAGUAAUUCAAGUGCUAAACAAAGCAGUGAAUUCAAAUAUCCAAUAUUUAAAGAUGAGCCUAAUUCAUUAUAUCAAAACUGCAUAGCAGAUGGAAAGAAAAGCAAGAAAGAUGUAUUACCUGAACAAGUCAUUCUUGGCAUUCGGUAUAAACACCGAAGAAAUCACGUAAAAUUUGGUUCCACAGAUAUAAGACAGACUCUCCUGUCCUUUCUCGUGCUUGACCAACACCUCAUGUGGCUGUGAACGUAGCCUAGACAAUGUCCUCUCUGCGAGCAAUUAACAGGGGUGAUGAUCGGAGGCAGCUCUCUUGGCAUUGUAGGAACAAAUCGGUUCUGAAGCAACUGGUAUUUGCAUUAGUUAAUAUGCCAAAGAUUGGAGUGAAUGGUGCUACUUGUAAUGACCUUGAACUUGGCCCAGAAAGUCUUACAUUCUGCAAAAUGUGUCUCACCAUAGAUCAGUUGGUAGAGAUUGCAACAAGGAUAUCAGAUGUCCAAUGGUCGCUGCUCAUUACACAUGAACGUUUCUGUGAAUCCUGUGCAGAUAGUUUGAUGGACCGCGAUUUGGACAAUACCAAUCCUGUACAGAUAGUUUCCUUAACUCUUAACAAUAACCACCACCCUGCAAAUUGGCAAAUACCAAACGUUAAAUUGCGAGAAGUAUCUGUUGUCAGAGUACUUCACAUAGAUACUAGGCAUGAGUUUCAUCAGAUGCGUAAAUUUCUAUGGUCAUGGCAAAAGUUUGGAAGCAAAACACAUCCAUUUUGAGUGUCAGAGUUGAUAUGAAAAGAUUCAAUAUGGUGUACGGUAGAUAAACUAAAUAGUUAAAACUGAAC
rnacentral:lncRNA from 1 species